CCUACGGGUGGCAGCAGUGGGGAAUAUUGGACAAUGGGCGAAAGCCUGAUCCAGCCAUGCCGCGUGUGUGAAGAAGGCCUUCGGGUUGUAAAGCACUUUCAGUGGGGAAGAAAGCCUUGGGGCUAAUACCCUCGAGGAAGGACAUCACCCACAGAAGAAGCACCGGCUAACUCCGUGCCAGCAGCCGCGGUAAUACGGAGGGUGCGAGCGUUAAUCGGAAUUACUGGGUGUAAAGCGCGCGUAGGCGGUCUGAUAAGCCGGUUGUGAAAGCCCCGGGCUCAACCUGGGAACGGCAUCCGGAACUGUCAGGCUAGAGUGCAGGAGAGGAAGGUAGAAUUCCCGGUGUAGCGGUGAAAUGCGUAGAGAUCGGGAGGAAUACCAGUGGCGAAGGCGGCCUUCUGGACUGACACUGACGCUGAGGUGCGAAAGCGUGGGUAGCAAACAGGAUUAGAUACCCGUGUAGUC
rnacentral:rRNA from 1 species